CCUACGGGUGGCUGCAGUGGGGAAUAUUGGACAAUGGGCGAAAGCCUGAUCCAGCCAUGCCGCGUGUGUGAAGAAGGCCUUCGGGUUGUAAAGCACUUUCAGUGGGGAAGAAAGCCUUGGGGCUAAUACCCUCGAGGAAGGACAUCACCCACAGAAGAAGCACCGGCUAACUCCGUGCCAGCAGCCGCGGUAAUACGGAGGGUGCGAGCGUUAAUCGGAAUUACUGGGCGUAAAGCGCGCGUAGGCGGUCUGAUAAGCCGGUUGUGAAAGCCCCGGGCUCAACCUGGGAACGGCAUCCGGAACUGUCAGGCUAGAGUGCAGGAGAGGAAGGUAGAAUUCCCGGUGUAGCGGUGAAAUGCGUAGAGAUCGGGAGGAAUACCAGUGGCGAAGGCGGCCUUCUGGACUGACACUGACGCUGAGGCGCGAAAGCGUGGGUAGCAAACAGGAUUAGAACCCGGGUAGUC
rnacentral:rRNA from 1 species